UACGGAGGGUGCAAGCGUUAUCCGGAUUCAUUGGGUUUAAAGGGUGCGCAGGCGGCCUUACAAGUCAGUGGUGAAAUCCUCCCGCUCAACGGGAGAACUGCCAUUGAAACUGUAGGGCUUGAAUCUAUUUGAAGUGGGCGGAAUACGACAUGUAGCGGUGAAAUGCAUAGAUAUGUCGUGGAACACCGAUUGCGAAGGCAGCUCACUAAGUUAGUAUUGACGCUGAGGCACGAAAGCGUGGGGAGCGAACAGG
rnacentral:rRNA from 1 species